rnacentral:miRNA from 1 species
UUGGGUUGGCCACAAAGUUCAUUUGGGUUUUUCAUAACACCUUGCAGAAAAUCCUGAAUGAACUUUUUGGCUAACCCAA